rnacentral:rRNA from 1 species
UACGAAGGGUGCAAGCGUUAAUCGGAAUUACUGGGCGUAAAGGGUGCGUAGGCGGUUGUUUAAGUCUGUCGUGAAAUCCCCGGGCUCAACUUGGGAAUGGCGAUGGAUACUGGGCAGCUAGAGUGUGUCAGAGGAUGGUGGAAUUCCCGGUGUAGCGGUGAAAUGCGUAGAGAUCGGGAGGAACAUCAGUGGCGAAGGCGGCCAUCUGGGACAACACUGACGCUGAAGCACGAAAGCGUGGGGAGCAAACAGG